UUCAUAUCGGAAAGCAGGAAAGAAUAGAGAGAGUACCAAACAGCGACAGGUCCCGGAAGAUGCACCGAAUAUGCAACCGUUCGUAGUCCGGUCGCCUCUUCUUCCCCACGGUCUGCUUCUCCAUACACUUUCCGGCCACCCAUCCGCCCACAGCAACCCAUCUAGAUCUUCUCCUCCCUCUGUCCCACUCCGCAAUCAACCCAGAAAGGCGCGCGCAAUCCGGUGUAUAUUCUCGCAUCCCUAUCCAUCCAUCCGAACCUCCGUCGAGGUAUGAGACAGGAGGCCGCCAGCCUAGUGGUCACCCAGGAGGACGCCUGCCACCGCCGCCUGGACUCGCCGGCGUCGUCAGAGGAGGACGAGGACGGAGAGGGGAACGCCAUGCCGCCGUCGGCGUGCGCGAUCUUGCUGCGCCGGGAGGGCGUCGCGGCGGCGGGGGAGGAGCUGCUGCUGGUGCCGCCGCUCAACUUCGCCAUGGUGGACCACGGCGUGUACCGCUCCGGCUUCCCGGACGUCUCUAACCUGCCGUUCCUCGAGUCCCUCCGACUCCGCUCCGUCCUGUGCCUGUGCCCAGAGGCCUACCCGGAGGCCAACCUGGAGUUCCUUCGCGCCCAUAGGAUCAGGCUCUUCCAGUUCGGAAUCGCCGGCUCCAAGGAACCUUUUGUGAACAUACCAGAAGAUACAAUCCGUGAGGCCUUAAACGUUGUUCUAGAUGUAAGAAACCAUCCGGUGCUUAUUCACUGCAAGCGCGGAAAGCAUCGAACUGGCUGUGUGGUCGGAUGCUUGAGGAAAUUGCAACGCUGGUGUCUGACUUCAAUAUUCGAUGAAUACCAGCGUUUUGCUGCUGCCAAAACAAGAGUUUCUGAUCUUAGGUUUAUGGAGCUAUUUGAUAUAUCUAGCAUAAAUCAUCUACCAGCAUCUUUCACGUGCUGAGAAAGCCAACAUCAGAGGGUGCUCGUGUUCCAUCCAAGAUUGGCAUUUCUUUCUCCUGCUAUUGCAACAUCGCUAGCAUGAUAAGAAGUGUGUUGGAGAGGCAGGUCGUAGGAAGAGGCCCUUGCGUUAGCUCGAGAUACCGAGUACAGAAAAUAAACGGUUUGUAUCAUGAGUUCACCGUGAAAUUUGCACGGUCUGUUUGUUACAGAACUGCACCAAGCUCACCAUGAAUAGUUGAAUAUCAACAAUGGGACGGGGCCGCAACAUUUCUCCUACCUGAUUUGUAUACACACAAAAUCUCAGGUCCACGGUGCUUGUAUAUAUAUACACAUUUUCUUCC